rnacentral:tmRNA from 1 species
GGGGCCGCAAUGGUUUCGACGGGGGCAGUGAGGCAUGAUAAGCGUAGCGCGCCGGAUAAUCGCGUCAAAAUGUCCAAACUUAAAUAAUAAACGACAACAAUAAAGUUGCAAUGGCAGCGUAAGCUGUGCCGCGGCUGAUAAUUGCCGCCCGCACCGCGGGUGAGGACUACGUCUCCCGCCGUGCGUCAAAUCAGUAGUGAACAUGAACCGAGAUUUCGCCUUUGUAUCGGUCAUGCAUAAAAAGGCUACCUGAGGUGAAGCCUGUCUGUCGGCGUCCCAUAGGGGAAUUUCAAUAGAUUGACUGCCUACGGAGAAAGUUAUGUCAAGCGGUCUUCGGACACGGGUUCAAUUCCCGUCGGUUCCACCA